CCCCGAUUACGCACAUUUGUGGUUUUGACAAAGGAGCUAGUGUCUGUAUGGGGAAGAAGGUUGAAGGUCAUCGGCUGACCUCAUUGACAUUAGGAUUAAACGACAACUGAUUUCUGAAACAACCGGAAUAGGAAAAUGCAUAAGAUUAAAAGGCAUACAGGUUUGGAACGACACAAAGGAUGAACAUCUGAUAAUCCUCAUCCUAUAGGAGGAUUCCAGAUUCUCCGCAAUCACAACUGAACAUCUAUGGACAGAAUGUGUGACAUGAAA
ensembl:lncRNA